rnacentral:misc_RNA from 1 species
GAUUAAUGGAUUCACUUAUUCUCUUUGUUGUGAGGAUUCAUUGUGCUUGUUCUUUAAACAGAGUGUGAUUCAUGUAGUUCUGUUGCCCUUGUGCAUGCUUACUAUUGCUUCAUACACUGUUCACAAGUUAAAUGAUAGCUAAAUUAUUUUUAGGGAAACAAUAAAUCCAUUUUUAAAGUGAAACAUUCGAACCCUUGCUGUUGGAAACUUUUAGGAAGGAUGACAAAGUCUGUGGACUGAUCUUGCUGUUUUGGACUGAAUCAAUUGAAAUCAGGUGAAAUGCUUUCAAUGCUAAGAUUAUUAAUAUAAGAAUGUUGACUGUAGAGUAUAACUUAUCUGUUAUGAUAAUGAGAGGAAUAGG